UCUGACCAGUUGGGUUUGGCGUGCAGUCCACAGUAAGCUUCUUUUUCUUCUUCUAUCUACCAACUCACACCAAUCACUCACUCUCUUAACUCUAAACCACUCCACUUCCCUUCACACUCAAAACCCACAACAAGAUCUCUCACCACUUUCCCUCACUUUCUCUUACUUUCUCUCUCCUUUUCCUCCAAACCAAACAGACCCCGAUUGAUGGCUAUCAACAGAGAUUCCACUCCCCCACCAAUGAUCGGCAAGAUUGGCCCUUACACUGUGUUCAUGACUCCACCCUCCACACCAAAACCACCUGAACCGGUCUUUGAUUCCCCCAAGAAGGUGGCCCCACCUCCGGUUCAGCCGCCGCCUCAGCAAUUGGUGCAGCCUAUGGCUGUUUCAGAUUCUGCCGCCAAUGGCUCUGUCUUGGGGGUUUUUAAGAAUGCCGUGAACAAAGUUCAGAAGGCACAUUCAAGUUUGGAUGACCAUUUGGCACGUUGGUUUGGGUUGAAUCAGUCAAAAUAUCAGUGGGCACUAGAUGAUUAUUAUGAGAGCAAGGGAUUGGUAAGCAUUUGAUUGCUUGCAUUCCUACGACUUAUUUGCUUUCUGUUGCGAUUUUAUGCGGAGAAGGGCGAGAAACCAAAAGAGAUAUCUAGCAAAAUGCAGAGUGUGUAACGUGCUAACUGGACAGAAUUAAUUGCAAGGGAGAGCUCGUGCAGACAUCUUUUGAGUAUAGUACAUCUAAAUAGUUAUGUAUGGAGUAGAAGUGCAUCUGGGUACACACAGAGUCCAACCAAGUUUCGGGGUUCUGGUUAUGCAAUUCUCUGCCUUCUGCAACAGCUGAGUUUGGUUAUCUAACAGUUUGUAAGUCAUGUAUCUCAUUUAAAUAUAUAGUUUUCAGCCAAACUUGUGUUCUUGUACUCCUUUAAGCUGCCAGCUUAUUUAUUUUUAUUUGUGGGUAAUGUACCAUCGGCUUGUUGGUGUAUUUGUAUUAUUCGUGAAGGCUAUAAUUUGCAGCUUAUGAUUGUGGAAUUAAUUUUUUGGGUAUGUUUUCUUCUUGUUCCUCAACUCUGCUGAAUUACAGCUUUCCUCAACUCAAAA